ensembl:lncRNA
GGUUGCAUUAGAUAGUGCAUGUGUUGUUACCAAUGAAUGUACAAUGGUGAACAAUUAUUAAGAUGAAUCUCUUUCAUCUAAGCUGUUCAGGUAAAGCCUCAGAUGGUGGAUGUGGGGACUCAAACCGAAAGGUUUGAGCAUCGCAGAUCAACUCCACUGGCCAGUCCUGAACAAAGUGAUGACGAAUGGUUAUUUUCUGAUCUCAUCAACCAUUCUGGUGAUAUGUCAUGGAGUCCAGGGGAGGAGAUGUUGAGCGAGUCCUCUGAGGAGGAACCAGAAGAGCUGGAAUCUCUCAGUGACCCAAAUGCUGUUGACAAGUUCAUUGUUUGCCAGAGGCAGUUGCUGUCCUUGUUCACGGUUUGCCCUGCAUGCUGUGGGGAAACCCAGGAACACAUAAUGCACCCGGAAGGAACUUUCAUAAAAGUCAAGCAGGCCUGCGGAACUUGUGGUUAUGAGCGUUACUGGCAAAACCAAGAGAAGGUGCAUUGAAACAUGCCUGCCUGCAACCUUUUACUCAGCAGUGCCAUCCACUUCUCAGGUUGCAUGGCUACUCAGACAAUCAGGAUGCUGAAGCUGUUUGGACUGCAGUGCAUAAGUCCCGGCACUUUUUUCCGCCAUCAGCGCUAUUACACUAUCCCUACCAUCGUGCAGGCCUGGAGGAAUGAGCAGAGGGGGAUCAUCAGGGAGUUGAAGGAGACUGGGGUGGAUUGAUCCUGUCUGGUGACUGCAGGUAGAAUGGUCCAGCUCACGUCACUGAUGUAGAACAGGUCAGUGUGUUUUUGCAUUAACCUCUAAAUGUAACUGUUUUUGACGUUCUUAGAUCAGAUUCUCCUGGACACUGUGCCAAAUAUGGUAGCUACUCCUUGAUUGAGGUUCGAAUUAACAAGGUUUUGGAUGUUCAACUUGUCCAAGUAAGUUGAUGUCACACAGAAAUCUUGUGUCUGAUUUAGUUAUUGAUAUUACUGUUACUGUUCAGUAAUAAUCAGUUGGUUUUACAGAGCUCAGAAGUCCCAAGCAGCUCUUGGUGUGAGCUAGAGGAUCUAAAGCGGAGUAUGCAGUUCCUGAUGGACCAAGACAUGCAAGUGUCUGCUCUGAUAACAGACAGAAAUCGGCAGGUAAUGAUGCUAGGAGAGAUCUAAAGCUGAACAGCAUUGACAGGCACAGUAUCACUCAAAAUAAAUUCUAAAUUCUAUAAAAUCAAUUUGUGUUUUAGGUGCCCAAGUGGGUACGUGAGAAAAUGUGUUCAGAAGGAACAAGGCAUUUCUUUGACGUCUGGCAUAUCAGAAUCAGAAUCAGAAAGAGCUUUAUUGCCAAGUAUGCUUACGCAUACAAGGAAUUUGUUUUAGUGACAUAAGCUUCCAGUACACAGAGACAACAACAACAACAACAACAACAAAAAACAAAGAACAAAUUGCAAAUAAAUAAAUCGUAUGAACAGUUGUGCUAUAGAUGACAAUGGAUUAGAAUAGAGUAAGAUGCAGAGAUGUACUUGGAUGGAGGGGUGACAAAUAAAUAUAAGAAUAUUGCACAUUUUUUGCAUAAGUGGGGAACAUUUAACUGUUCAUGAGGUAAAUUGCCUGGGGAAAGAAACUGUUCUUGUGCCUGACUGUCCUGGUAUUUGCGGCUCUGAAGCGCCGGCUAGAUGGCAAAAGUUCAAAAAGGGGGUAACUUGGAUGUGAGGGAUCCAGAGUGAUUUUCUGAGCCCUUUUCCUCACUCUGGAUGUAUACAGUUCUUGAAGGGUGGCAGGGGAGCACCAAUAAUUCUUUCAGCAGUCCGAACCGUUCUCUGUAGUCUUCUGAUGUCUGAUUUUGUAGCUGAACCAAACCAGACAGUUAUUGAAGUACACAGGACAGACUCAAUGACGGCUGAGUAGAACUGUUUCAGUAGCGUCUGUGGCAGGUUAAACUUCCUCAGCUGGCGAAGGAAGUACAACCUUUGUUGGGCCUUUUUAACAAUGGAGUCAAUGUGAUUGUCCCACUUCAGGUCCUGAGAGAUGGUGGUUCCCAGGAAUCUGAAUGACUCCACUGCAGCCACAGUGCUGUUCAUGAUGGUGAGUGGGGGGAGUGCAGGGGGGUUUCUCCUGAAGUCCACAAUCAUCUCCACUGUUUUGAGAGUGUUCAGCUCCAGGUUGUUAAGACUGCACCAGACAGCCAGCAACCUCUUGAGACAACCUCUUGUCUGUAAGCAUCCUGGAUGAGGCCGAUGACUGUAGUGUCGUCUGCAAACUUCAGGAGCUUGACAGAGGGGUCUUUGGAGGUGCAGUCGUUGGUGUAGAGGGAGAAGAGCAGUGGGGAAGAACACAUCCCUGAGGGGCACCAGUGUUGGUGGAGCGGCUGUUUGACAUGAAUUUCCCCAGUCUCACUAGCUGUUGCCUAUCUGUCAGAAAGCUGGUGAUCCACUGACAGAUAGAGCUAGGAACAGAGAGCUGGGUCAGUUUGGUCUGGAAGGCUUUUGGGAUGAUGGUGUUGAAAGCCGAACUAAAGUCCACAAACAGGAUCCUCACAUAAGUGCCUGUUUUGUCCAGAUGUUGCAUGAUGAAAUGCAAUCCCAAGUUGAUUGCAUCAUCCACGGACCUGUUUGCUCGGUAAGCAAACUGCAGGGGGUCCAGUAAGGGUCCAGUGAUGUCCUUCAGAUAAGCCAGAACCAGUUUUUCAAACGACUUCAUGACGACAGACGUUAGAGCCACAGGUCUGUAGUCGUUAAGUCCUGUUAUCUUGGGUUUCUUUGGAACGGGGAUGAUGGUGGAGCGUUUGAAGCAGGACGGCACUUCACACAGCUCCAGUGAUCUGUUGAAGAUCUGUGAAAAGAUGGGGGCCAAUUGGUUAGCACAGGUUCUCAGACAGGCUGGUGUAACACCAUCUGGACCUGGUGCUUUUCUUCUUUUGUUCUUCCUGAAGAACUGGCGCACAUCAUUUUCACUGAUUUGAAGAGCAGGAGGGGGGAGAGGGGUAUUGAUGGAGAUGUUAACAGUUGUGUAGAGAGAUGAUCAGAAUGGAUGUGGCGUGUUUCAAAUCUACAAUAAAACUCAUUCAGGUCGUUAGCAAGUCGUUGAUUAGCCUCAGUGCAGGGGGAUGGUGUCUUGUAGUUGGUAAUGGCUCUCAGUCCACUCCACACUGAAGUUGAGUCGUUGGAAGUAAACUGGUCUUCCAACUUUUUAGAGUAGGUCCUUUUAGCCGCUCUAAUCUCUUGUUCAGUGUGUUUCUGGCCUGAUUAUACAAGACUCUGUCCCCAUUUCUGUAGGCAUCCUCUUUGGCCUGACGAAGAUGUCUGAGUUUUGCUGUAAACCAUGGCUUAUCGUUGUUGAAUGUUAAAUAAGUCCUGGUAGGAAUACAUAUAUCCUCACAAAAACUAAUAUAGGAUGUUACAGUCUCUUUGAGUUCGUCCAGAUCAGUGGUAGCAGCUUCAAAAACACUCCAAUCAGUGAGGUCAAAACAAGCUUGUAAAUCCUGCUCUAUUUCGUUGGUCCAUCUCUUUAUAGUCUUUACUACAGGUCUAGCAGAUUUAAGUUUCUGCCUGUAGGUUGGUAUAAGAUGAACCAGACAGUGAUCAGAGAGUCCCAAAGCUGCUCGUGGAACAGAGUGAUAUGCAUCCUUUAUUGUGGUGUAACAGUGAUCCAAUAUAUUACUGUCUCUUGUGGGACAUGUAACAUGCUGUCUGUAUUUUGGCAGUUCACGGGAGAGAUUGGCUUUAUUAAAGUCCCCAAGAAUGAUUAAAACAGAGUCCGGGUGUUGUUGUUCUGUCUCUGUGAUCUGGUCAGCGAGUUUCUGUAAAGCCAGACUUACGUGCGCUUGCGGAGGGAUGUAAACGCUAACCAGAAUGAACGAGUGAAACUCCCACGGCGAAUAGAACGGCUUGCAGUUGACAAAAAGCACUUCUAGAUCUGAACAGCACAUCUUCUUUAACACAGUUACAUCUGUAACCCGGCAGAUGGAGCGCGCUGUCCGGUAUGGCGUCAUUGAGCCAGGUUUCCGUGAAACACAGAGCAGCAGAGUGCGAUAAAUCCUUAUUUGUCCGGGAAAGCAGAAGGAGUUUGUCCGUUUUGUUGGGUAGAGAGCGGAGAUUUGCCAGAUGGAUGCUAGGCAACGGCGUUCGAAAUCCGCGCUUCCUGAGUCUAACGAGCGCACCAGCUCGCUUUCCCCGUUUGCGCUUUUUGAAGCGUUUGAUCAGCGCCGCUGCUCCACCAACAACAACGUUCAGUAAAACGUCCGAAUAAUUGAAAUCCGGUAAAAGAUUUUGUGGUGUGUUCUGCCGAAUGUUCAGCAGUUCAUCCCUGGUGAAACUGAUCGUGUUUGACAAACAAAAAACAGGAAAAACGAACAAAAACAGUACAAACACUGGAGAGCCAAGCACUGAAGCAGCCGUCUGCGGCGCCAUCGAGGUACGAGUACAUGUGAAGCCCAUUUCUGUGGUGAUAUGUUAAU